AAAGGUGCUAUGUGCUCCAAAAGAGCCAAAUACAUUAGCAUUCUUUAACCAUAACUUUUGAAGUCGAUAUUUGACUACUUUUGCAUUUCUUCUAGGUUGUAGUUAGACAACUCCUAAUUCUAUGGGGAAAGCAAAGACUAUAAAAUGCCAGAGCUUCACUCUGCUGAAAUAACAUUAGUGAAAUAUCAAGUCCUUUAUGAUGUCAUGAGGGAUUCCUUAAUAUGACUAUAGCUUCCUAAUGACAUCAUAAAAAACAACUGCAACAUCAGAAAACAGCCAAGGGUCAUCAAUCAGCCCAUCCUCUCUCCUACUCACCAGAGGCAGCAGCCCAGCUUGCUCCUAUCUGCUUUUUAUGAGCAAUGCUGUCCUCUGAAUAGCACACAGAGAAGAGACUAAUAAUCAUACAAAUAUCAGGGAGAGCGGUCAAUCAUCACCUGAAAUGUUCAGUACACCUGAGGGAAAUUCGGGUGCUGCAGCCUGAAGAGUCUGCAAGUUUAGCAUGUAGAAGAGACAAGAUUACAGCCUUAGAGUCAAGCAAAGGAGGGUGAAAAGGAGGAGAAGCCUAUGCAAAUUGGAAUACACACAAUCUUCUGACAAUCACUUAGUCUGCAUCUUUCUGCUGUGAAAUCUGGUAACAGCUGGUUUGCUUUACAAGCAAGGAGUACAGAGGGUGCCAAGUCCUCUCAUCCACCAGCAAGCAGAACUAAAGCUGGGCUGUGACUUUCCUCCAAGAUCCCACUUGCACAAACCCUGCCAGCUCUACCUACAAGUAAAAGGCACAAUGCUUCUCCACUACAAGAAAGAGCAGAGAAACACAGCUGUAUGUGGAUAGCAGGGAUUUAAGGUCUAAAAAUAUAUGUUAGACAGGUAUUUUGGGGAUUUUUUUUCUCUCUGCUGCCACAAAAGGUUAUUGCUGACAGUUUCAUAUAAGAAAUUACAGUGUGUGUAAGGACACCA
rnacentral:lncRNA from 1 species